GUAGGUGGCAAGCGUUGUCCGGAAUUAUUGGGCGUAAAGCGCGCGCAGGUGGUUCUUUAAGUCUGAUGUGAAAGCCCCCGGCUCAACCGGGGAGGGUCAUUGGAAACUGGGGAACUUGAGUGCAGGAGAGGAAAGUGGAAUUCCACGUGUAGCGGUGAAAUGCGUAGAUAUGUGGAGGAACACCAGUGGCGAAGGCGACUUUCUGGCCUGUAACUGACACUGAGGCGCGAAAGCGUGGGGAGCAAACAGGGAUUAGAUACCCUGGUAGUCCACGCCGUAAACGAUGAGUGCUAAGUGUUGGGGGGGUUUCCGCCCCCUCAGUGCUGCAGCUAACGCAUUAAGCACUCCGCCUGGGAGUACGGUCGCAAGACUG
rnacentral:rRNA from 1 species